rnacentral:rRNA from 1 species
GAUGAACGCUGACAGAAUGCUUAACACAUGCAAGUCGAUGGGGAAGUGGUGCUUGCACCAUGGUAACCAUGGCGGACGGGUGAGUAACGCGUAAGGAACUUGCCUGCGGGACUGGGAUAACAGCAGGAAACUGCUGAUAAUACCGGAUAAGGUCAUUAAGCUGCAUAGCUUAGUGAUGAAAGGAGACGCCUGCGGAGAGCCUUGCGUCCUAUUAGCUAGUUGGAGGGGUAACGGCCCACCAAGGCGAAGAUAGGUAGCCGGCCUGAGAGGGUGGACGGCCACAAGGGGACUGAGAUACCGCCCUUACUCCUACGGGAGGCAGCAGUGGGGAAUAUUGGACAAUGGGGGCAACCCUGAUCCAGCAAUUCUGUGUGCACGAAGACGGUUUUCGGAUUGUAAAGUGCUUUCAGCAGGGAAGAAGGAAGUGACGGUACCUGCAGAAGAAGCGACGGCUAAAUACGUG